GAUGAACGCUAGCUACAGGCUUAACACAUGCAAGUCGAGGGGCAGCAUGAACUUAGCUUGCUAAGUUUGAUGGCGACCGGCGCACGGGUGCGUAACGCGUAUCCAACCUUCCCGUUACUCAGGUAUAGCCUUGCGAAAGUAAGAUUAAUCCCUGAUGACAUAUGUUUGCUGCAUGGUGAACAUAUUAAAGAUUUAUUGGUAACGGAUGGGGAUGCGUUCCAUUAGGUAGUUGGUGAGGUAACGGCUCACCAAGCCCGCGAUGGAUAGGGGUUCUGAGAGGAAGGUCCCCCACACUGGAACUGAGACACGGACCAGACUCCUACGGGGAGCAGCAGUGAGGAAUAUUGGUCAAUGGGCGGGAGCCUGAACCAGCCAAGUCGCGUGAGGG
rnacentral:rRNA from 1 species